UGGGGAAUUUUGGACAAUGGGCGCAAGCCUGAUCCAGCAAUGCCGCGUGCAGGAUGAAGGCCUUCGGGUUGUAAACUGCUUUUGUACGGAACGAAAAGCCUCUCCCUAAUACAGGGGGGUGAUGACGGUACCGUAAGAAUAAGCACCGGCUAACUACGUGCCAGCAGCCGCGGUAAUACGUAGGGUGCAAGCGUUAAUCGGAAUUACUGGGCGUAAAGCGUGCGCAGGCGGUUUUGUAAGACAGUGGUGAAAUCCCCGGGCUCAACCUGGGAACUGCCAUUGUGACUGCAAGGCUGGAGUGCGGCAGAGGGGGAUGGAAUUCCGCGUGUAGCAGUGAAAUGCGUAGAUAUGCGGAGGAACACCGAUGGCGAAGGCAAUCCCCUGGGCCUCACUGACGCUCAUGCACGAAAGCGUGGGGAGCAAACAGGAUUAGAUNCCCCUGGUAGUCCACGCCCUAAANGAUGUCAACUGGUUGUUGGGGAUUUAUUUCUUCAGUAACGAGCUAACGCGUGAAGUUGACNCCUGGGGAGUACGGCCGCAGGUUAAAACUC
rnacentral:rRNA from 1 species